GAUGAACGCUGGCGGCGUGCCUAAUACAUGCAAGUCGAGCGGUAAGGCCCCUUCGGGGGUACACGAGCGGCGGACGGCUGAGUAACGCGUAGGAACGUACCCCAAAGUGAGGGAUAACUGCUCGAAAGAGUAGCUAAUACCGCAUGUGCUCUAAGGAGUAAAGCUUUAUGCGCUUUGGGAACGGCCUGCGUAUGAUUAGCUAGUUGGUGAGGUAAUAGCUCACCAAGGCGACGAUCAUUAGCUGGUCUGAGAGGAUGAUCAGCCAGACUGGGACUGAGAACGGCCCAGACUCCUACGGGAGGCAGCAGUAGGGAAUUUUCCACAAUGGGCGAAAGCCUGAUGGAGCAACGCCGCGUGCAGGAUGAAUGCCUUAGGGUUGUAAACUGCUUUUAUUAGAGACGAUUAUGACGGUAACUAAUGAAUAAGGACCUGCUAACUACGUGCCAGCAGCCGCAGUAACAC
rnacentral:rRNA from 1 species